CCUACGGGUGGCAGCAGUGGGGAAUCUUGGGCAAUGGGCGCAAGCCUGACCCAGCAACGCCGCGUGAAGGACGAAGGCUUUCGGGUUGUACACUUCUUUUCUCCGGGACGAAGCUAGUUACUGUACCUGAGGAAUCAGCCACGGCUAACUCGGAGCCAGCAGCCGCUGUAAUCCGUAGUUGGCAAGCGUUAUCCAGAUUUACUGGGUGUAAAGGGCGUGUAGGGGGGAAAGCAAGUCAGAUGUGAAAACCAUGGGCUCAACCUGUGGCCUGCAUUUGAAACUGUUUUUGUUGAGUACUGGAGAGGCAGACGGAAGUCCUAGUGUAGCGGUGAAAUGCGUAGAUAUUAGGAGGAACACCAGUGGCGAAGGCGGUCUGCUGGACAGCAACUGACGCUGAGGCGCGAAAGCGUGGGGAGCAAACAGGAUUAGAUACCCCUGUAGUC
rnacentral:rRNA from 1 species